UCUUUAUCCCUUUUCUGAUUGACACUUUUUUUAAUCCUCGCGCUUUCCACGGGUGAAGCUACCUGAAAUUUAAAUUACUUUACCUUCCCAUAACUGUAGCACCUCACCCUUCAGUUUGUGGAACUUGUUUCCGAAGAAGCGUUAGGCAUCCGUGACUCAGUUCUCGCGAGAAGCGACCUCUGCUCGCGGCAUUUCCUUGUUUCCAGAAUCCUUAGCGAGAGAACACUCAUUUAUCUCUCCUAGUGUUGCUGCCGCAGUUUCUUGCGGCCUCCCACGGUGUCCCAGUUGCACUUUCUCCUGGGAAAAUGGCAGCCCCGGAGCAGCCACUGCCUAAGUCGAGAGGUUGCCAGAGCUCCGCUUCGUUUUCCCCGCCGCGGGGCGACCGAACCCUUCUAGUACGGCACCUGCCUGCGGAGCUGACCGCUGAGGAGAAAGAGGACUUGCUGAAGUACUUCGGCGCGCAGUCCGUCCGCGUCCUGUCAGAUAAGGGGCGACUGAAACAUACAGCUUUUGCUACUUUCCCUAAUGAAAAAGCAGCUAUUAAGGCAUUGACAAGACUCCAUCAGCUGAAACUUUUAGGUCAUACUUUAGUUGUUGAAUUUGCAAAAGAGCAGGAUCAAGUUCAUUCUCUACUGUCUUCUUCAAACACUGAAAAAAAGAAAAGGUCUGAUGACCCUGUGGAAGAUGAUAAAGAAAAGAAAGAAUUUGGUUGUUUAACAAUAGAAAAUGGAAUUGCACCAAACCAUGGGCUGAGUUUUCCUCUAAAUUCAUGCCUCAAGUAUAUGUAUCCACCACCUUCAAGCACAAUCCUAGCAAACAUAGUAAAUGCCUUGGCAAGCGUGCCUAAGUUCUAUGUGCAGGUGCUUCAUCUUAUGAAUAAAAUGAAUUUGCCCACACCUUUUGGACCAAUUACUGCACGACCUCCGUUGUAUGAAGACUAUAUGCCGUUGCAUGCACCUCUUCCACCUGCAUCUCCUCAGCCACCUGAGGAACCUCCUUUGCCAGAUGAGGAUGAGGAAUUAUCUAGUAAAGAAUCAGAGUAUGAAAGCAGUGAUGAUGAGGACCGGCAGAGAAUGACCAAACUAAUGGAACUAGCAAAUCUUCAGCCCAAAAGACCAAAAACAAUAAAGCAACGCCAUGUGAGGAAAAAGCGAAAAAUAAAGGAUAUGUUAAAUAUACCUUCAUCUGCUUCACACAGUAAUUUACAUCCAGUGCUGUUACCUUCAGAUGUAUUUGACCAACCACAACCUGUAGGUAAUAAAAAAAUUGAAUUCCAUAUAUCUACUGGCAUGCCAGCGACGUUUAAGAAAGAUUUAGAGAAGGAACAAAAUUGUGAGGAACAAAAUUAUGAUUUACCUGAUGCUGAAGUUGAUACAUCUAAUGUAGGAUUUGGAAAAAUCUUCCCAGCACCUAAUCUGAACAUCACAGAGGAGAUGAAAGAAGACUCUGAUGAAAUGCCGUCAGAAUUUAUCUCUAGAAAGGAGUUGAAAAAGGGCAGAAUUUCUAGAGAAGAAAUGGAAACACUAUCGAUUUUCAGAAGUUAUGAACCUGGUGAACCAAACUGUAGAAUUUAUGUGAAGAAUUUAGCUAAACAUGUUCAAGAAAAGGACCUUAAAUUUAUUUUUGGAAGAUAUGUUGACUUUUCAUCAGAAACAGAACGGAUAAUGUUUGAUAUCCGCUUGAUGAAAGAAGGUCGCAUGAAAGGACAAGCUUUCAUCGGACUUCCAAAUGAAACAGCAGCAGCAAAAGCCUUAAAGGAAGCUAAUGGCUAUGUCCUUUUUGGAAAACCAAUGGUGGUUCAAUUUGCUCGAUCUGCUAGACCAAAACAAGAUUCUAAAGAAGGAAAAAGAAAAUGUUAAAAAUUAGUAAAGGUAAGUGUGGGUAUAACAUAAUGAAAGGGUAAGACUGUUAAGAUAAAAUUAAGGACAGAAGCCUGAUACAGUAGUAAUUCAGCAAUCUCCCAAGGUUUUUCAAGAAUUUAUCUUUAUGCAGUUAAUCACCAUUUAACUUAGGAAUUUUCGCGAUAGAAUAAGCCCAUUUGUAUGUAUAAAUUAAGUUCAGAGAAUAAAUUUUAUAAGGAUAACAUUAUCUUUAUUUGCCUUUACUUUUUUCUGCCUAGAGUGAAGCAGUAGUUCUUAACCUUAAUAUGUGUUAGAAUCACCUGGUGAGCUUAGUAAAACAUAGAUUAUUGGGCUCCACUCCCAGAGUUUCUCAUUCAGUAGGUCUGGUGUGGGGGCCUAGGGUGACCAACCAUCCUAGUUUACCUGUGACUGAGGGGUUUCCCAGCACACUGGAUUUGUCAAUGCUAAAGCCAGGACAAGUUGGUCACCCUAGAUGAAGCCUGAGAAUUUGAAUUACUAAUGAGUUCCCCCUUAAUAGUGAGACAUCUGGUCGAGGGACUACACUUUGAAAACUCCUAAGAAGCAUUCCUGCGUAAAUACUGCUGUAAUACUGUCAUGCAAAGUGUAUCCUUUCUUGUUGUAUCCUUUUUGGGGCAGUGCUUUUUGGUUUUUUUCUAGAAAUGUUUUACCCUUCCUCCACCCAUUGGUCCAGAUAGAGCAAUAAUUUUUACAUUUUAUUCAAAUGAAAUAUUUCUAAAAUUAUCACUGCAGAUUGAACAAAUCAUUUGUGUUUUUUGGAUUUGUUGAAUUUUCUCUAUGUUCUUGAAGUCAUGUUAUUUUUCCAGAGAAAGUUAGUGAAUCAGGUCACCUUAUUUACUUGGAGAAUGUAUGCAUUUACUUUAACACAGAAUGUAGUCUUACUUCUAUUUGUAUAUUUCCUAAACCUAAUAAAAACUAUAUGCUUUCUGUUUUAUAACAUAUCUGGUUUAGGUAUUCUACGUAACAUGUUGUAAAAAGUACAUAUGUUAAAAUUAAAAUAACUGAUUUCUGUGUAAAUUCCAAAUAAGAGUAGCUGACCUCACAUCUGAAGUCUUAUUGAAAUCUCCUUUGAGGUAGAUAGCAAGUAGAAGUGUCUUUUUUCCUUUUUUCUUUUUUCCCCCCUAAAAACAAAAAGAUGGAAUGCAACAAGAGUAAUAAAGGGGAGAAGACACUAUAUUGGCUCAGGGUAACUCAUUAAGUGAAAAGAAAUCAUCCUGGUAGGUAUAAAACAACAGUGAUUUCCAGACUGGUUGAUGUCCAGAAUCACUAGAACAAUGGUUCUCAAUCUUGAUUGCACAGUAAUGAUCUGGGAAACUUUUGAAAAACACUGAUUGAAAAAAAAAAAAUCCCUUAAAAAAUAUACGAUGGAGUUUUCAUGUAAUUGGUCUGGGGUCCAGCCCAGAUAUUGGAAUUUUUAAAACCACCUGAAAGUGAUUCUAAUGUGCAACCAAGGUUGAGAAACACCAAGGAAAGAUUUUUAUGCGUAAAGAUUCCUGGACUCUAUCCUAGAAUUAAUAAAUCAGAAUCUCUGGGGAUGACACCCAAGAAUAUGAUUAGAAAAGAUUCCCCUCAUAAUGCUAAGGGCUGACCAGUUUGAAUACUGCUUUGUUAGCAUAAAAUGGUCAGGUACCUCAUACUAGCCCAGCCAUGUAACCGAAAAGUAGGAAAAUCGAGACUUGGAGCCUUGACAUGUCUUUCUUCCUUGCAAAUUUUGCUGUUGUUAGUACUGUGAAAACAAACUUCUGUUAAUUAUUAUCACCGUAAGAAUACAUAAAAGCAGUAGAUACUGAAAUUGCAGUUGUUUCUGUAUGGGGACAGUUAAAGUGUUUUAUUUUUUAAUGGUAUAAAUCACAGUUUCUGUAUACGGUGUUUACCUAAUUAAAACUUUGUUGCACUGACAUGAUUCACUAAUUUUCUAAAUAUCAAUGUUUUAGCUUUUAGUCAAUUUUAAGCUAUGAACAGUUUUAUAAUUAUGAUUAUUUUUAAUGGACUUUUAUGGUGUUCCAGGUUCCUUUUGGAUUCUGUACCUUUCAAGUGCUUUCCAACUUUGAGGAGGAGAAAUUGGCCACCUGGACUAUGGAACUGUGCGUAACAGCUUUUAAAAUGUAUUUAAAAGUUAAAUCUAUAUGUAUUUAAAUCAGUUGAUUGGAGAUCUAUUACAUGUAUUUUAAUCACUUCCAUAGUAUAUAAUAAAUUAUUUUCUUUCUGGUAAAAUGGUGUUAAUUUUUUUUUUUAUAUAUAUAAGUUGUGUGCAUCUGGUAUAACUUUAUAAUUACAUACUUUUUUAUUUAUGUAGUUUUAGAAUACUAAAUGUAAAUUUUCUUUUAUUAUAAAUAUUGGCAUUUCUAAGUGGAUACUAAUACACAUUUUUAACCAGUAGUCUUAAUUGUAAGUGAUAAUUGUUUUAAAACUUUUAUCUGCCUGGGUUUUGAGUUUUAUUAUUGUUGUUGUGGGGUAUUUUGUUUUUGUUUUUGCUAGUUAGGGUUCUCUCCCAGGAUAAGAAUUUGUAUCCGUACCCUAAUUUAGUGUUCCAUAUUUAUACUCCCAAAUGUAUCAGGAUAUCACUCAGAGGUUAAAAUGUUUCCCAUAUAAAAUUUUUCUAUUCUCUUAGUGAAAUGAGUUUCAGCUAUAUUUAAGUAGAAAAACUUUGGUAUUUUUAUUUGAUCUUACUGAUACUCUUCUGUGAGUAUGUGGUGACAGUUUAGAAUGACUGCCCAGAGGCUGAAAUCUUCUGGAUAUUGGGAUUUUUAAAACCUCCUAAAAGUGAUUCUAAUGUGCAGCCGAGGUUGAGGAACACCAAGGAAGGAUUUUUAUGCCUAAAGAUUCCUGGACUCUACCCUAGAACUAAUAAAUUUGAAUCUCUGGGAAUGGGUUCCAAGAAUAUAAUUAGAAAAGGUCCCUCUCAUAAUUAUAAGGACUAACCGGUUUGAAUACUACUUUGUUAGCAUAAAAUGGUCUGGUACCUAACACCAGCCUAGCUUCUUCCUUUUUUCUCAUAGCAUUGUAUAGUGGGUAGAGUGCAUUAAAGGUGGGAAUUAGAAGCAUGGAGAAGUGAACCCUGGAACACGCAAAUGUUUAGAUGAUGAAGUAGUUAAGAAACCAUUAAACAAGACUUAGGAGGAACGGCUAGAAGCCAGGUGAAGAAAGUGUCUCAACCAGGAAGUGUUGUUCAAAUGUGUGAAAUCUGUUAAUGAUGUAAAUAAGAUGAAUUCGGGGGAUUGAACAUUAAGUUUAGUAAGAUUUGUGACCUUGACCUUGACAAGCUAAUUUGAUCGAUGGAAGAACCAACAGGUGGUAUUCAAGACAAUGGUAGAGAGAAACUGAAGAUAGUGAGAAUUGAAGACAGCUCUUUUAAGGAGUCUUGCUUUAAAGGGGAAUAGAGAAAUUGUUACUAGAGUGGGAUGUGAUAUCAAGAGGUUUUUUUUUUUUAAACAGACAUUUUUUAUAAAGGUAUAGCAGAUUUUUGUGCUAAGGGAGCUGAUCUCUAGUAGAAAGAAAAACGUGAUGUAGGAAGGAGAGACAAAUUGAUGGAGCCAUAGAUCUGCUGUACAAAUAGUGUUUAGCUUUAAAGAUAAGGCUGCACUCCCCUUAUUAAUAGCAAUAAAAGGAAGGGCAGAUUACUUAGGUCUAUACGCUUCUAGUUUUGGAGAUGUGACGGUAGAAGCAUGCGGAAAUUUCUUUUUUUCCUAAGUAGAAUAAGUAGCAAGGUUAUGAAGAAGAGGGAAGAAGUGAUGGAGAGUUGAGGAAAGAAAAGGUGUAAAUUAGAUUAUCUAGGAAAGUGCAACAGUGAGCAAACUCUUAGAAGGAUUGCCAGGCAGUGCUGAAGUGCCCACUUGAAGUUACUUGUUAUUAUUUAUUUAUUUAUUUUUUGGUGGUGAAAAUAUGUACAACAAAACAUACUCCAACAUUUUCUACAUUUAUAAUUCAGUGACAUUGAUUACAUUCAUCAAGUUGUGCAACCAUUCUGUCUUUUUUCCAAAUUAUUUCACUAUCAUUAACAUAACUCAGUACCGCCUAAGCAAAAACUCACCCAUUUUUCCUUCUUCCCUUUCCUGGGGUAACCACUAGUAAUCUUUAGUUUCUACAUGUUUGUUUAUUUCAUCUAAAUGAGAUCAUAUACUAUUUGCCCUUUUGUGACUGACUUAUUUCACUCAGUGUAUUGUUUUCAAGGUUCAUCCAUGUUAUGGC